CGCACAGUUCCUUCAUUAUUCUUGAGUUGCUAAAUGCUUCUUCGAUUGUACGUGAUUGAUAUGUCGAGUUCGUACCACGCGGAUUGUACUCGUACGUACUCAGAGGUAAAGCGUGAUGCACCGUCGGCCAUCAUAGUCGUAUUCUUUUUGUAUUAUACGCGUAUUUCAUCGGUUCUACUAAAUUGGUAUGUUCCAUUAAGUAUUCGCCGUACCAUGUAGUUCUGCAUUAACAUUAACAUAAACGUUAACGCUACCCUCCUACGGUGCCCUGAAUGGAAGUCACUUCUACCGCUACCCUCGACUAGUUUUUGAUGGUUUUUGGGAUUUUGCACUUGAGUCAGACAUCAUAGAAGGACCAUUCUUUCAUUAGAGUGGAUUUUGCAUCCGAGUCUGACAUCGAAGUAGGACAAUUCUUGCAUCAGAUUGGAUUUUGCACCUGAGUCUGACAUCGUAAAAGGACCAUUCUUGCAUCAGAUUGGAUUUUGCACUUGAGUCUGACAUCGUAGAAGGACCAUUCUUGCAUCAGAUUGGAUUUUGCACCUGAGUCUGACAUCGUAGAAGGACCAUUCUUGCAUCAGAUUGGAUUUUGCACCUGAGUCUGACAUCGUAGAAGGACCAUUCUUGCAUCAGAUUGACUAAUGUUUGAUGGUUUUAGUGAUUUUGCACUUGAAUCUGACAUCGUAGAAAGACCAUUCUUGCAUCAGAUUGGAUUUUGCACCUGAGUCUGACAUCGUAGAAGGACCAUUCUUGCCGCAGAUUGGAUUUUGCACUUGAGUCUGACAUCGUAGAAGGACCAUUUUUGCAUCAGAUUGGAUUUUGCACCUGAGUCUGACAUCGUAGAAGGACCAUUCUUGCCGCAGAUUGGAUUUUGCACCUGAGUCUGACAUCGUAGAAGGACCAUUUUUGCAUCAGAUUGGAUUUUGCACCUGAGUCUGACAUCGUAGAAGGACCAUUUCUGCAUCAGAUUGGAUUUUGCACCUGAGUCUGACAUCGUAGAAGGACCAUUUUUGCAUCAGAUUGGAUUUUGCACCUGAGUCUGACAUCGUAGAAGGACCAUUCUUGCAUCAGAUUGAAAGGAUUUUGCACCUGACUCUGACAUCGUAGAAGGACCAUUCUUGCAUCAGAUUGUUAGUUUUAAAGUUCAUUAUCUUAAAUAACCUUUGUGAUUAUUAUACAAAUUGACUCCCAAAAUUUAUGCUUCUGUGUUUUCUUUAAUAAAGAAUAUUUUUAAGUUUUUCUAAUCAAAA